ACCAGUGUUUCCUGAUCACCUCCCCUUCCUCUUUAAACUUCAGUCACAUCAGUAGAGCUGCCGAUCUUCAUCAGGAGUAGAGACAAUAAGUCAGAUUUCUCAAACUUAUUUUAUAUUUGACAAGAUGAUCUGCCUUUUAGUUCUCUGCUGCCUUUCAGGCGGUCUGGCUCUGGAGGUCCUUCAGUCUCCCUCUGAUGUUCUGACACAACCUGGAGACAAAGUGCAGAUUUUCUGCAGCCAUAAAAAAACUGACUACCGGGUGAUGCUCUGGUACCAGCGCUCACCUGGAGACACAGCUAUGAAACUCAUCGGGUAUUUGAACUUUAAAGCAGUCAACAUGGAAGCCACAUAUGAAGCAGAUUUUAAUAUGACUGGAGAUUUGGGAGGAAACACAGAAAAGAACGGCUCUCUGGUUUUCAAAAGAGUGAAAGCAGAGCACAGUGCAGUUUAUUACUGUGCAGCGAGAGAAGCACGCUGAUGAAAAGACCCCGGGAACUUUACAAAAACCCUCGACGGGUUUUUCUCAUCCGUGGUUUUUAAAUAAGACGUGAAUGAAACUGCUCAGAGACACCUGCUUUAGUGGUUGGAUUCUGGUUUGAUGCAGUCACAUCAUCAGUUAGAGAUAAGGGAAGGGGAUAGGGGACCAGUGGUUUAUUAGUACACCAUUAAGGAUCUUUGAUAUUAGGAAGCACCAUAAGGGCUUCUGUCCACAGAAUAUUCUUUUUUCACUGGUUGGACUGUUUAACUAAAAUAAA